rnacentral:rRNA from 1 species
GAAAAUUACAAGCACAAGCUUAAAACUCAAAGGACUUGGCGGCGCUUUAUAUCCAUCUAGAGGAGCCUGUCCUGUAACCGAUAACCCCCGUUAAACCUCACCCCCUCUUGCUUUCAGCCUGUAUACCGCCGCCGUCAGCUUACCCCACAAGGCCGAUUAGUAAGCAAAAUUGGUUUAGCCCAAUACGUCAGGUCGAGGUGCAGCUUAUGAGGGGGGAAGAGAUGGGCUACAUUUCCUACACUUUAAAGGUCUUACGGACUAUAUACUGAAAACAGAUAUUGAAGGUGGAUUUAGUAGUAAGUAAAAAAUAGACGCUUUU